rnacentral:rRNA from 1 species
CCUACGGGAGGCAGCAGUGAGGAAUAUUGGUCAAUGGGCGCGAGCCUGAACCAGCCAAGUAGCGUGAAGGAUGACUGCCCUACGGGUUGUAAACUUCUUUUAUAAAGGAACAAAGUGAGGCACGAGUGCCUCUUUGGAUAGACUCUAUGAAUUAGGAUCGGCUAACUCCGUGCCUGCAGCCGUGGUAAUAAGGAGUAUCCGAGCGUUAUCCGGCAUCAUUGGGUUUAAAGGGAGGGUAGAUGGGUUGUUAAGUCAGUUGUGAAAGUUUGCGGGUCAACCGUAGCAGUGCAAUUGAGACUGACAGCCUUGAGUAAGGGUGAGGUAGGCGGAAUUCGUGGUGUAGCGGUGAAAUGCGUAGAUAUCACGAGGAACUCCGAUUGCGAAGGCAGCCUACUGGACUGCCACUGACGUUGAGGCACGAAAGUGUGGGUAUCGAACAGGAUUAGAUACCCUAGUAGUC